rnacentral:rRNA from 1 species
CCUAGCAGCCAUACCACCCUGAACACGCCCGAUCUCGUCUGAUCUCGGAAGCUAAGCAGGGUCGGGCCUGGUUAGUACUUGGAUGGGAGACCUAUUUAUAGGUUUUAAGCAUUAGAA